rnacentral:rRNA from 1 species
GACGAACGCUGGCGGCGUGCUUAACACAUGCAAGUCGAACGGAAAGGCCCUGCUUUUGUGGGGUGCUCGAGUGGCGAACGGGUGAGUAACACAUGAGUAACCUGCCCUUGACUUUGGGAUAACUUCAGGAAACUGGGGCUAAUACCGGAUAGGAGCUCCUGCUGCAUGGUGGGGGUUGGAAAGUUUCGGCGGUUGGGGAUGGACUCGCGGCUUAUCAGCUUGUUGGUGGGGUAGUGGCUUACCAAGGCUUUGACGGGUAGCCGGCCUGAGAGGGUGACCGGCCACAUUGGGACUGAGAUACGGCCCAGACUCCUACGGGAGGCAGCAGUGGGGAAUAUUGCACAAUGGGCGGAAGCCUGAUGCAGCAACGCCGCGUGCGGGAUGACGGCCUUCGGGUUGUAAACCGCUUUCGCCUGUGACGAAGCGUGAGUGACGGUAAUGGGUAAAGAAGCACCGGCUAACUACGUGCCAGCAGCCGCGGUGAUACGUAGGGUGCGAGCGUUGUCCGGAUUUAUUGGGCGUAAAGGGCUCGUAGGUGGUUGAUCGCGUCGGAAGUGUAAUCUUGGGGCUUAACCCUGAGCGUGCUUUCGAUACGGGUUGACUUGAGGAAGGUAGGGGAGAAUGGAAUUCCUGGUGGAGCGGUGGAAUGCGCAGAUAUCAGGAGGAACACCAGUGGCGAAGGCGGUUCUCUGGGCCUUUCCUGACGCUGAGGAGCGAAAGCGUGGGGAGCGAACAGGCUUAGAUACCCUGGUAGUCCACGCUGUAAACGGUGGGUACUAGGUGUGGGGUCCAUUCCACGGGUUCCGUGCCGUAGCUAACGCUUUAAGUACCCCGCCUGGGGAGUACGGCCGCAAGGCUAAAACUCAAAGGAAUUGACGGGGCCCCGCACAAGCGGCGGAGCAUGCGGAUUAAUUCGAUGCAACGCGUAGAACCUUACCUGGGUUUGACAUGGAUCGGGAGCGCUCAGAGAUGGGUGUGCCUCUUUUGGGGUCGGUUCACAGGUGGUGCAUGGCUGUCGUCAGCUCGUGUCGUGAGAUGUUGGGUUAAGUCCCGCAACGAGCGCAACCCUUGUUCACUGUUGCCAGCACGUUAUGGUGGGGACUCAGUGGAGACCGCCGGGGUCAACUCGGAGGAAGGUGGGGAUGACGUCAAGUCAUCAUGCCCCUUAUGUCCAGGGCUUCACGCAUGCUACAAUGGCUGGUACAGAGAGUGGCGAGCCUGUGAGGGUGAGCGAAUCUCGGAAAGCCGGUCUCAGUUCGGAUUGGGGUCUGCAACUCGACCUCAUGAAGUCGGAGUCGCUAGUAAUCGCAGAUCAGCAACGCUGCGGUGAAUACGUUCCCGGGGCU